rnacentral:rRNA from 1 species
GAUGAACGCUAGCGGCAGGCUUAAUACAUGCAAGUCGUGGGGCAGCACAGAGUAGCCAUACUUGGGUGGCGACCGGCAAACGGGUGCGGAACACGUACGCAACCUUCCUUCAGGCGGGGAAUAGCCCAGAGAAAUUUGGAUUAAUACCCCAUCAAAUUUUGAGAUGGCAUCACCUUAUUAUUAAGCUUCGGCACCUGAUGAUGGUCGUGCGGCUGAUUAGGUAGUUGGCGGGGUAACGGCCCACCAAGCCUACGAUCAGUAGCUGAUGUGAGAGCAUGAUCAGCCACACGGGCACUGAGACACGGGCCCGACUCCUACGGGAGGCAGCAGUAAGGAAUAUUGGUCAAUGGACGAAAGUCUGAACCAGCCAUGCCGCGUGGAGGAUGAAGGUCCUCUGGAUUGUAAACUUCUUUUAUUUGGGACGAAAAAAGGGAAUUCUUUCCCACUUGACGGUACCAGAUGAAUGAGCACCGGCUAACUCCGUGCCAGCCGCCGCAGUAAUAC